rnacentral:lncRNA from 1 species
AUUAUUUUACUUUUUUCACCUUUUUAUUAUUUUUUAGAUUUAUUAUUCUGGGUUUAUUAUUUUCAGUUUUUUUUCCUUUAACUUUAUUUUCAUGUUUUAUUUAUUUUCAUAUUCAGGUUGGUAUUGUAGCUUCAACUGUCAUCGACUCUACUCCGUUCUGUAUUUUCACCAUCAACAGUAUACCCCUCCGUAUUGAAUUAUUUAGAAAAGCUCCUUCUCCGGCACCAGG